AUUGAACGCUGGCGGCAUGCUUUACACAUGCAAGUCGAACGGCAGCGGGGGCUUCGGCCUGCCGGCGAGUGGCGAACGGGUGAGUAAUGCAUCGGAACGUGCCCAUGUCGUGGGGGAUAACGUCGCGAAAGCUACGCUAACACCGCAUACGUCCUGAGGGAGAAAGCGGGGGGUCUUCGGACCUCGCGCGAUUGGAGCGGCCGAUGUCGGUUUAGCUAGUAGGUAGGGUAAAGGCUCACCUAGGCGACGAUCCGUAGCGGGUCUGAGAGGAUGAUCCGCAACCAUGGGUCUGAGACACGGCCCAGACUCCUACGGGAGGCAGCAGUGGGGAAUUUUGGACAAUGGGCGCAAGCCUGAUCCAGCCAUGCCGCGUGAGUGAAGAAGGCCUUCGGGUUGUAAAGCUCUUUCGGCCGGGAAGAAAUCGUGUUCUCUAACAUAGGACAUGGAUGACGGUACCGGACUAAGAAGCACCGGCUAACUACGUGCCAGCCGCCGCCGUAAGAC
rnacentral:rRNA from 1 species